AUUUAGUAUUUUAAAAUUAAUUUAUUUUCUUGAAAUAUCAAUUAUUUUAUUAUAGAGAUAGAAAAAAUUAUUUUGUUUAUAGUUUAUUAGUAAUGUGAAUGAAUAUUAAAAGAUAAACAAAAUAAUUAAAAGAAGAAUUUGGGUUUUGUACCUUGUGUAUCAGGGUUAAUUAAUUAAUAAUUAUAAAUAAUAAUUUUCCCGAAUUUAGAAGAGUUAAGAAAUAAUAAAUUUUAUUGUAAAAUAAAUAUUUAUAAUUAUUUUUUAGUAAUGAAACGUUAGUCGUUUUUAAUUAUAUCUGGUUUUUUAAGAAAUUAAUUUAAUUAACUAUUUUGUAGAAAAAUUUAAUAUUUAUUUAUUAAAUUUUUACUUUAUGGAAAUUUUUUAAGGGAUAAGCUUUGAAAAAUAUAUAUAUAAGAUAAUGAAUUUUAUAAAUUUUAUAUGAUUAUAAGUUUUAAUUAUUAAGAAUGUGUUAUAACUAAAUUUGUAUUGAUUUUAUUUAUAUUAUUUUUAUGUAUUUUAUUAGAAUUAUAAAUUUAAUAGUUUAUUUUAUGUAAUAAUGAUUGAAUUAGUAUAUUUAAUUGUAUAUUUAGUAGAGGAUAUUAAUUUAUAUAAAGGAAUUCGGCAAAUAAAUUUCCGCCUGUUUAUUAAAAACAUGUCUUUUUGGUAAUAAUUUAAAGUUUAACCUGCCCACUGAGAAUUGAAUGGCCGCGGUAAUUUGACCGUGCGAAGGUAGCAUAAUAAUUAGUUUUUUAAUUGAAAACUGGAAUGAAUGGUUGGACGAGAAAUUUACUGUCUCUAUAUAAUUUUUAGAAUUUUAUAUUUAAGUAAAAAAGCUUAAAUAAAUUUAAAAGACGAGAAGACCCUAUAGAGUUUAAUAUUUAAUUAAUUUUUAAUGUGUAGAAUUACUAAUUUUAUAUUAGGAUGAUAUUUUAUUGGGGUGAUAGAAAAAUUUGAUUAACUUUUUUUAAAAGUGAACAUUAAUAUAUGAAUAGAUGAUCCGUUUUUUAUGAUUAUAAGAUCAAAUUACCUUAGGGAUAACAGCGUAAUCAUUUUUGAGAGUUCAUAUCGAAAAAAUGGAUUGCGACCUCGAUGUUGGAUUAAAAUUAAUUAUUGGUGUAGAGGCUAAAUAAAUUAGGUCUGUUCGACCUUUAAAAUUUUACAUGAUCUGAGUUUAGACCGGCGUGAGCCAGGUUGGUUUCUAUCUUUAGAUAAGUUAAAUAUUUUAGUACGAAAGGACCAAAUAUUUAUAAUAAUUAUUUAUUUUUGAUAAAUAUUAAU
rnacentral:rRNA from 1 species